AGUGAACGCUGGCGGUAGGCCUAACACAUGCAGGUCGAACGGCAGCACAGUAAGAGCUUGCUCUUACGGGUGGCGAGUGGCGGACGGGUGAGGAAUACAUCGGAAUCUACUUUUUCGUGGGGGAUAACGUAGGGAAACUUACGCUAAUACCGCAUACGACCUACGGGUGAAAGCAGGGGAUCUUCGGACCUUGCGCGAUUGAAUGAGCCGAUGUCGGAUUAGCUAGUUGGCGGGGUAAAGGCCCACCAAGGCGACGAUCCGUAGCUGGUCUGAGAAGAUGAUCAGCCACACUGGAACUGGGACACGGUCCAGACUCCUACGGGAAGCAGCAGUGAGGAAUAUUGGACAAUGGGCGCAAGCCUGAUCCAGCCAUACCGCGUGGGUGAAGAAGGCCUUCGGGUUGUAAAGCCCUUUUGUUGGGAAAGAAAAGCAGCAGGUUAAUACCCCGCUGUUCUGACGGUACCCAAAGAAUAAACACCGGCUAACUUCGUG
rnacentral:rRNA from 1 species